GUCAUUUUGAAAUUUUAAGCGCUUUCGUUUUUUCACGUCCGGGAACUCCUGCAUCUUUCUUUAGAUUAAACUACUUCAGUUUAAAGAGAUAGAUUUGCAAACGCGUGCUAUGGGGCAGAUUUAAAAAGUUUUUUAAAUAUUCAAGAGGCACCUGGUUGAUCGGCAUAAUUUAAUUCGCGGAUGAAGGUUUAUCGAACACGAUGAGCAGCUCCGAGGCUCAGUUUGUGGAUAGGAACCGGGCAGCGCUUAUUCAAAGGGUUACUUCAGUGAUGGCAAUAGCAGAUGAGCUCAAAAAUAAAGACAUGAUACAUGAUGAAACAUAUUCAGAGAUCAGAGCAGAAGUAACCAACCAGGGCAAAAUGAGAGAGCUGUUUGAAGCACUGCAUUCUGGAGGAGACAGAGUGAAAAAUUACUUUUAUUAUGCGCUGAAACAACAUGAAAAAUUCCUCUUCAAAGACCUGGGUGGUGACAACUGAAAACAACCGUGACCUAAACCUGCGGGAGAGCAUUCAGCUGCAGUGACCUGAACAAUUGCUGAUAUUCUGUCCUUGAAGCUCAACAAACAGUACUGUGCAAGACUUUACAGACCUAAUGUGGAAAAAAGAGAGAAGAUGCAGCCACAUGAACAUGAAAGAAUGAUUAAAAUGCAGUUAAAGGAACAGUUCAACCCCCCCCCCCCCCCCCCCCCCAAAAAAAACAAAAAACAAAAACAAAAACACAUAUAUAACAUAAAGCAUACCAUAGGGUAAUGGUACGCAUUAUAUUUUCACCAUGAAAUAUUUUUUCAAAUAAGUUUUUAUUACAUAAAAUAGCUUCAAUUAUGCAUAUCAAAAAAGAUUUUUGAAGAAUGGGGGCUACUUAUGGAAACGUUGCCAUAUGGAAACUCUGUACCACAAUGGAAAAUGGUCAAAAAAGCAGUUUUUCUAUAAAUAUUGAUUUUCUUUUCUAUUUUACAGAGCCCCGCACAUGACAUGCAAGAAAAAAAUUAAAUCGUGCACACAAUUUACUAAUUUGUUUCCUCAUGCGCACGAUUCAAAAUGCUGUCUGAAGGGGUCAGAGAGCUCUCAGAUUUAAUGUAUAUCUCAAAAAUAUCUUAAUUUGUGUUCUGAAGAUGAACAAAUGUCUUACAGGUUUGAAACUGCAUGAGGGUCAGUAAUUAAUGACAGAAUGUUUUUUUUUUUUGGGGUGAAUAUACCAGAAUUUGUAGGCUGUGUUUGCACAUUUGAAAUGUAUGAAAGUAAAAGUUUGACCUUUUUGGAACAUUUGACCUUUGGUUACAUGGAAGAAAAUGUCAUACAGGCUUUAAUUUAGGUGAACAUUUUUAAGCUCUUUACAUUAAAAUUAAAGUCUUUAUAUUAAUAAAAAUGAUUUUAAAAAAGAAAUAAGGAAUGAUUUUACAAUACUUGCAAAGUAAAUUUAAGAAAUUUUGAAAAUCACCCAUUGACUUACAUCAGAGAUGAUGUCACCAUUUAGUGUCAUUUACUCACCUUCAUGCCAUUUAGAGCUGCAUUUAUACUGUUCAUUUCACAACACAUGAAAUAAUUAUUGUGCAUCUGUUUUUACAUUCCAGUGGGAAGGAUUCUCUUCUCCUCGAAUAAAUUGAUAACUUUGUGAAUUUGUUCACACUGUUCUUUUUAUUUCGUAAUUUUAUAACUGGCAUUAAACAUUCUUACCUGACAAAUCAA